AAACCAGGCUACUUUUAGUCGAAUCGUAGCUGUUGCUGCGACAACAAUGAUCAAAGAUGCCAUCAAAUCUAUACCUACUAAUUGACAAGUGACAAUAGAUAAUGGAUAGUCGAUAAUGGCUUCCACUAGUUUGAGGUUAUGUGUAAUUUGUGAGUGGAAGUGAAAAUAGGCAGGCCAGUGUAUACAUUUCUUAAUGUCGUUUUAAUAACACGCGCAGUCGAAAAAUGCAUUCCUAUACUCCGACAAAUGUAUAAAAGUAAGAAGUAAUAUAUCUAAAGGCCGAGACUAUAAUUGUCGGUUACCGAAUGCGCCUGAAGCAAGAUGGCGCCAGAAACAAAACAAAGAGCGGGAGCCGCGUUGCCAAGUCUUCAGCUUGUUAGUGGCGGUAAAGCGUAAAGUGGCGCGAAAUAUAUCUAUGAUAAUUUGCUUGAAAGUGGUUUUCUGUAGACGAUAAUCCACAACUGCUGUUAUCCACUAUUCCUAGUCGCGAUCCAGCGUGAUGAAGGCCAUUUUUCAGUGCAUUUGCAAGAAAACAACGGCUGCGACUUCACCCUCCUCUCCACUCCCUUUUGCCAGGAAAAGGAACUGGAGCCGAGGUUUCCGGUCCUGCCAACUAAUGCAAACCGCACGGAUUUACUGACGCCCGGCACGACAUCCAGCCAUCACAAAUCUAAUAUUUCUUCGAUAACUCGGACACGGACAAGGUGCUGUUUCUUUGACUCUGUUACAGGGAGGGUCAGGAUUUUCCUUUUGGCAAUUGCCAGUUCAGUUAGAAUAACUUUACUUUGACUUUCGAUUAGGUCGGUGACCAUUCCGGAAGAAGACAUAACAUAUUCAAAAAUACACUUAAAUGUCAUUUGCUAAGAAUAAAACUCAAAGUCGUCACCA